rnacentral:rRNA from 1 species
ACCUGGUUGAUCCUGCCAGUAGUCAUAUGCUUGUCUCAAAGAUUAAGCCAUGCAUGUCUUAGUAUAAGCACUUGUACUGUUAAACUGCGGAAGGCUCAUUAAAUCAGUAAUAAUCUAUUGUGGUUUAGGCUCUCAGCCUUAUCGGAUAUCUGCGGAAAAUCUGGAGCUAAUACGUCGCCUUUGAGUACAGGUCACCAGUUCUGCUGGUGGCUGCACUAGUACACUAAAACCGAGGGUAUUUUACCUUCUCCAGCUGAUCCAAUACUAGUCCCUAAAGCACACGUUUUUAAACUGGUGCGAACCACCAAGAAUUUCUGACCUAUCAACCUGAUGGUAGUGCAGUGGACUACCAUAGUCACAACAGGUAACGGGGAAUUAGGGUUUGAUUCCGGAGAGGACGCCUGAGAGAUGGCGUCUACUUCUAAGGAAGGCAGCAGGCGCGCAAAUUACCCAAUUCUGAUUCAGAGAGGUAGUGACAAGAAAUAACAAUGGGAUUCCCUUAUAAGGAAUCCCAAUUGGAAUGAGAGGGGAGUAAAGCCCCUAGCGAGUAUCAAUUGGAGGGAAAGUCUGGUGCCAGCAGCCGCGGUAAUUCCAGCUCCAGUAGCAUAUACUAAAGUUGUUGCAGUUAAAACGCCCGUAGCCUAUUUUAAACGGGUCCUACUGUCGGUCUGCCAAAUUGGCUGUACUGCUGCGGAAAAACCCAACAAAUAUAGAGAGUCGGCCGCCGUGCCUUUAACUAGGCGCGGUAGUGACAAUCAGUUCACUGUGAAUAAAUCAGAGUGUUCAAAGCGUGUAGGUUAGCAUGAAUGGUUUAGCAUGGGAUGAUAAAAUAAGGAGGGUCCAAAGUUCUCGGCCUUUGGACCUUCAAUGAUUAAUAGGGAUUGACGGGGCCGUCCCUAUUUUGUGGGAAGAGGUGAAAUUCUAUGAUCCACGAAAGAGGACCAAAAGCGAAAGCAGUCUGCCAGGAUGUCUCCAUUGGUCAAGGACGAAAGUUUGGGGAUCGAAGACGAUCAGAUACCGUCGUAGUCCAAACUAUAAACGAUGUCGCCUGAAGUUCAUGCGUCGUUCAUACUGACCCCCAUGGGAAUCUGUAAGAAAUUAUAAGCUUAUGGACUCUGGGGGGAGUAUGGUCGCAAGGCUGAAACUUAAAAGAAUUGACGGAAGAUCACCACCAGGAGUGGAACCUGCGGCUUAAUUUGACUCAACACGGGAAAGCUCACCAGGUCCGGACACUUGAAUGAUUGACAGAUUAAGAGCUCUUUCUUGAUUAAGUGGGUGGUGGUGCAUGGCCGUUCUUAGUUGGUGGAGUGAUUUGUCUGGUUGAUUCCGAUAACGAACGAGAUCUUGGUUUAUUAAAUAGUGAGACGGACCACUUAACGGGUGAAGCGUUGGAGAGUAUUUCAGCAGGUGUCAAAGCUUGGUGGAGUGCACUCUGGCGUGGAUCCUUGGUGAUUCCGUCUGCGCUUCUUAAAAGGACAACUCAUGGUAAGUGGGUGGAAGUCCAAGGCAAUAACAGGUCAGUGAUGCCCUUAGAUGUUCUGGGCUGCACGCGCGUUACACUGAUGGCGUCAACGAGUUUUACCCUUGGCCGUCAGGUCUGGGUAAUCUUCUAGUCGCCAUCGUGAUGGGGAUAGAUGAUUGUAACUAUUUAUCUUGAACGAGGAAUUUCUAGUAAGCAUAGGUCAUCAACCUGUGCUGAUUACGUCCCUGGUCUUUGUACACACCGCCCGUCGCUCCUACCGAUUGGGUGUUCCGGUGAAAUGUUCGGAUUGGCUCUUAACCUUGGUUCGCCAGGGCGCUCAGCUGAGAAGUUCAGUAAACCUUAACAUCUAGAGGAAGGAGAAGUCGUAACAAGGUAUCCGUAGGUGAACCAGCGGAAG